rnacentral:piRNA from 1 species
UGUGAGCUAGAAUAAGAGGUGCAGGA